rnacentral:rRNA from 1 species
UGGGGAAUUUUGGACAAUGGGGGAAACCCUGAUCCAGCCAUCCCGCGUGUGCGAUGAAGGCCUUCGGGUUGUAAAGCACUUUUGGCAGGAAAGAAACGUCGCGGGUUAAUACCCCGCGAAACUGACGGUACCUGCAGAAUAAGCACCGGCUAACUACGUGCCAGCAGCCGCGGUAAUACGUAGGGUGCAAGCGUUAAUCGGAAUUACUGGGCGUAAAGCGUGCGCAGGCGGUUCGGAAAGAAAGAUGUGAAAUCCCAGAGCUUAACUUUGGAACUGCAUUUUUAAACUACCGGGCUAGAGUGUGUCAGAGGGAGGUGGAAUUCCGCGUGUAGCAGUGAAAUGCGUAGAUAUGCGGAGGAACACCGAUGGCGAAGGCAGCCUCCUGGGAUAACACUGACGCUCAUGCACGAAAGCGUGGGGAGCAAAACAGGAUUAGAUACCCUGGUAGUCCACGCCCUAAACGAUGUCAACCAGCUGUUGGGGCCUUCGGGCCUUGGUAGCGCAGCUAACGCGUGAAGUUGACCGCCUGGGGAGUACGGUCGCAAGAUUAAAAACUCAAAU